rnacentral:rRNA from 1 species
AGAAUCAACGCUGGCGGCGUGCCUAACACAUGCAAGUCGCACGAGAAAGGGGCUUCGGCUCUGAGUAAAGUGGCGCACGGGUGAGUAACACGUGAAUUAUCUACCUCCGAGUGGGGAAUAACUGAGAGAAAUCUUAGCUAAUACCGCAUAACACUUACGGGUCAAAGCAGCAAUGCGCUUGGAGAGGAGUUCGCGGCCGAUUAGUUAGUGGCGGGGUAAUGGCCCACCAAGACGAUGAUCGGUA